rnacentral:lncRNA from 10 species
UCCUAAAGCAGUCAUUCUGAAACCCAAUCUGGGGACAGUGCAGACUAAAUAAAAUUUCAUUUUGAUUUGGCCUCCCGCUGCGAAUGGGACUGCUUUGUCUCAGCCGACAGAACCAGCAAGCCAGAAAGGGAAUGAAGACAUUUGGAGAAGAAGCGUUUACUGAAAGGAGAUUCCUGGGCUGGAGGAAAACCAUGAUCUACAGUUCAUGUUGACAGAUAUUGUAUUUUUGGUCCUAGAUCUGACUUUUGAAAUGACUUAUCACAAAUUCAAAUUUAGCAAUCAUGAGUGAAGUACCCACGAUGUGCUAAGCAUCUACCUCUGCAGAUAGAAGAACACUUACUGUUCCUGAGCAUGGGAGGGAAUAGAAGUUCCUGGGUCCUGGCCUCACCUCAUCAGGCACUGCCAAAUUUGACACCUCCUUCCUGUUCACGGCAGUCCUUUGCGAUAGGGUAUUAGAUGCCACCAAGUAGCUGCAUAACUCACCCAUUUGGUCAGAGCCUGGGUCUAAGCCAGGUCUGACAGACUCCAAAGCAAGCCCUGUUUACAGCAUGACUGGGAUCCAGUGGACGAGGGAACUGAGCUGUCAAAACUAAGUGACUUGAUUGAGGCCAUGCAGCUGGCGAGGGGAGGACCAGGAUCUGAACCCAACUGGGUCUCCCAAGCCUGGGCCACUGAACCAUUUCACCUCUUGGAAAAACUUAAUGGUCAGAGUGGCCCACCCAGUCCAUGGACAGCAUGGAGGUAAUGAACUUUAAUCAGAAACUUAUUGUGCAUUGACUGAGCAUUUAUUCUUUU